GAACCCGUGGCUCAAUGUUAGAGCGUUUGUCUCAAUAACGAAUGGUCGCGGGUUCGAAUCCCAGGUGUUCG
rnacentral:tRNA from 1 species